rnacentral:misc_RNA from 1 species
UGGUGAGGGAGCUGGAGAACAUACUAAACAUGAUGCCCGACGAUAGCGGCACCUUGUAUUCAGACUUGUCCACAAGAUCAAGUGCCAGGCUUCCAUCCUCACCGACAUCAACGUCCUGCAUCACCCGGGACCAGUUUGCAUCAGGAAGCAUUUCGGGGAGCGAUCUCAUCAGUGAUGUCAUGCCAACCAUCAGACCUCGAUGACAUUUUG